UACGAAGGGGGCUAGCGUUGCUCGGAAUCACUGGGCGUAAAGGGUGCGUAGGCGGGUCUUUAAGUCAGGGGUGAAAUCCUGGAGCUCAACUCCCGAACUGCCUUUGAUACUGAGGAUCUUGAGUUCGGGAGAGGUGAGUGGAACUGCGAGUGUAGAGGUGAAAUUCGUAGAUAUUCGCAAGAACACCAGUGGCGAAGGCGGCUCACUGGCCCGAUACUGACGCUGAGGCACGAAAGCGUGGGGAGCAAACAGG
rnacentral:rRNA from 1 species